CAGCAGAAGCACGCUGCAGGUGGCGCUGUUCCAGUCAACUGUGGAGAAACUAUGUAAUGGCAUAUUCAUUCCAGAAAGUAACCUGCACUGUGGAAGUCACUGUUUUCGCGUUCGUACGCACAAACCGUAAGGUAGACGUGUGCGCCGAUGGCAGCGUAGCGGUCGUCAUCGUUCUACGGGUCCUGACUCCAGCGUCAGCGUCGUCACUGGCUCGAAGAAAUAAACGUCAACUAGCACGCAAGCAGUAUCGAACCAGGCGGGAAAAGGACCGAUGGGUCAUGGCCCCUUCUGCUGUUCUGCCACCCAGGUGCAGCUGACAACCAUGGAACUGCCUGCAGUUUUUUCGCAUUUCGGAAUUGGGUCGUAAUAUCAGAACCUAUAACAAAUUCAAGCCGUUAUCUCUGUUUAUUAGUGGAGUAAUUUGUACAUGAUUCACAGAUUACUAGGACAGGUCAUGGAACCAAACCUCUAUACUUGUAAACAUGAAAUAAUCAUUUUGAACAAAUGAAGAG